rnacentral:lncRNA from 1 species
GGGCCCCGAGGGCCUGGACUGCAGCACUACUGCUUGUUUGUUCCUGAAAUCCUAACUGUAUUGCUGUCUAUUUACUGUUUUCUGUUGCCACUUGUUGCGUUGUGUUCCAGAUGAUCACUUGCUAAGUUGUAAACUUGACGAUGCUGCCCUGUUUGUUUGUGUGUUAGUGUGUUUGUGUCUCCUAUGGGUGUGGAACUGUAUGUUACUAUGGCUGCUAUAGCGACUGACUCUCUAUUGGAACCCUAAGACGUCGUUUCCGAGCUGGAAUAGUUGUCGUUGUGUGUAGUUUCUUGCUGUCUUGCAUCUUGCUCCAACAGUUGUGUCCAUGUAGCUCUCGUGGCGAACACACCGUCGAUUAAUCGAAAAAGAUCAGAGUCUUCCAUAUCGGUAUGUGCAAGGGCUACAAAAAUUUGCAUGCAAUUUUUUAUGUGGGACCCGUGGCUGUCUUGCUGGACAUGUUGUCGGAGGCGUUGGCGGAUUGUGUGUUGGGGUUAUUCUUGUUCUUGUUGGUUGCGUUGUCUUAGUUCGUCUCUGUAUGCUUCUCUGAUGUUUUCUAUCUCUAUGCAAUACAGGACCUCUUCGCUAUCUGUUCUCCUGAUUCAGUUUGUCCAGAUGUUGGGCGUCGCUGGCGUCCUUGGUACGGGAUUGUUGAAUAGUGCGUCUAUUGCGGUGCGUAGGGCUGGAUGAGGGAUCGGUCGAAGCUCCGGUGCAUUCUGGUGGGGAUGAACGGCUAGCUCUAGCGAGAUGAAUGUCGGUGGUGGGAUCAUUUUCCAAGUGAAUGGUUCUUGAGUGGCGAAUAUGUUGUCCUCGGUCCAGAUCUUCAUGAAUAGCGCUGUUUUUUGUUGAUAUUCAUUGGAAGGUGUAGGAUGGCGAUGUAAUUCUCGCCAUGCUUCGAUCCCAAUAUGUACUGUGGUCCUCCAAGCUUUAUAGAGAACCUGGCCGAUAUGAAAUGAUUCCCGGUCUCUGUCAAAACUGCAUUUGGCACACCAUAUGUUCCAUUUUAUUAGUGACUUGAGUAGGAAUCAUGGCGUUUCGUUGGAGAUGCGGACAGU